UACGAAGGGGGCUAGCGUUGUUCGGAUUUACUGGGCGUAAAGCGCACGUAGGUGGAUUGUUAAGUCAGGGGUGAAAUCCUGGAGCUCAACUCCAGAACUGCCUUUGAUACUGGCAAUCUAGAGUCCGGAAGAGGUGAGUGGAACUCCGAGUGUAGAGGUGAAAUUCGUAGAUAUUCGGAAGAACACCAGUGGCGAAGGCGGCUCACUGGUCCGGUACUGACGCUGAGGUGCGAAAGCGUGGGGAGCAAACAGG
rnacentral:rRNA from 1 species